UACCGACCCCAGAAUGCACCGCUUUGCGACUAGGAAAAUAAAAGGAACUCCGCCGCUUGCCGCCUACCGCCACUGUGAGGAGGGUGUGUUUACAAAGCAGGCCGGCCUUUUUUUUUUUUUUUUUACUGGCCCGGGAGUGGGAGAGGCUUGCGAAGGACACGUGACUCGUUUCCCCUUUCUCUCACUGAUUUGAAAGCUUCGCUCGGGUGCCAUCAAAGUCAUGCCUUGUGACGUGUGGCUUCAGACCCUCCUCCUCUUCAUGCAGCCGUUUCUGGAUUUUGAAGUUGGAAAAGGCUACUUUCCCAUUGCUGUGCAAAAGCCUGCCAUUUGCAGGCAGCUAUUUGUGAAGGUUUUCUCAAUGAGGAAUCCCCCCCAAAGGGGUUUUUUUCCAGCCCCUUGCUCUGCAGUAUAGUCCACAGCAUUCCUUAGCAAUCCUAAGCUUUUCUUUGGACUGGUUGGGAGUGACAGUCCAGAAAAGGAUCUUUUCUCUUUGGAAGUUCUGCCUGCAGCGUUUGGGGAACAGGGAACAAAGUCAAGUCUUGUGUGUGGGAGUUCUUCUGUUUUGUGCUUUAAACUGGAUUAUUAUACGAGUCGGCACUGCCAGAUAAUCUAGGAUAAACAAAACCUGGGAUCAGAUCCUGGGAUACAGGGCCUGUCUGGAAGGGCCCUAAGGUGAAAUCCCAUUUCUUCUCUGAGUAGACUUCUCAUUGGAAACUCAGCAAAGGGUUGAGGAUCCUUUUGUCCUUUUCAAAGUUUGGCAGACAAUUCCCAUACUCUCCAUUGGCCCAGCUGGCUGAGUCUUGUUGGAUACGACUAAACUUAAUGUCAGGGGAAAACCUUUACCUACCUAAGGGCCUGGGAGUGACAGCCCUAAAACGCGCCUUUCCUCUGUCCUGUCAAGAGUUCAAGAAUUAAAUACAUAUAUAUUCCUGGAAACCUUGAGAUUUCUUCAUUAGCCCAAGGAAACAGCAGGAACCAAGAAGCUCCUUGAGAAAGAUGGAAGAAGUCUGUUGCUGUGAGUUUUCCAGGCUGUAUGACCAUGUUCCAGAAGCUUUCGCUCCUGACAUUUUACCCACAAGGUUGAGUUGCUGACCUGAAGAUUGUCAUUUCGAAUCCACGAGAUGGGGUUUUCAGUUAUGACUUCCAACUAUGCAGGGAAAGAAGUAUUAUGAAAGAAGAAUGAAACCCUUUCCAUUCAGAAACAGUUGGGCUUAAUAUCCAUACCAAGAAUAAAAGAUCAAUGCUGCUCUAAGCUCAGAGAGGGAUGACCAAAGGAAGCCAACGAUGAGCAGCCAGCUUAUAGUUUGGAGAAGAAAGGCUGAGAUGAGACUAAAUGUCUAAAUAUCAGAAAGGAUGCCACAUUGGAAAGGAGGCUGGUUUAUUUCCUGCUGCUCCGGAGACUAGGACACAAUGGAACAAUGGGAUUCAAAUGGCAGGAAAAGAAAUUCCACAGAAAUCAUCAGGAAGAACUUCCUGAUGGUAAAAUACAGUUCGAUAGUGGAUUACGCUGCCUCGGACUGUGGUAGAGUCGUCUUUGGAGAAUUUGAAAUGUAAGGGCAAUAUUUGUAUUAUUUUAUAUCAUUUUUAUAAUGGACAUAAUUCUUCAGCACUUUGCAAAACGUAGACUUUUGUUCAGUGGCACUGCAGCUAUGAAAUUUGGAAAUGCAAAAGCUCUCUGAUAGCAAGCCCCUGAAAGGGAGACAGCCAGGACAGCUGUAAUUUUAUCUUUUUUGAGAGAGAGCCAUGGUUGGACAUAUACAUGAACCAAUGAGGAAGUUGAUGUUCCCCUCCUGCCUGUGAUAACAUAUAUUGUUGUUGUUGUUGUUAAUUUAUAUCCCGCUUUUCUCCCACAGGUGGUACUCCCACAAAUAAUACCACAGCUGCACAUCUUAUGUUCCUUUUGAUCUCUGGUGAUAAUGCUUAAAUCUUAAUUGCCAUAGGUAUAAGUGGCUUGCUACCAUUGUUCGUGGUUGUCAGAAUUGUUUUGUGGCAGACUAUUUGCCUCUAGUGAACCCCAACUGGUACAAAUAAAUGCCUUGUUUGGUCUUGACGGCCC